rnacentral:misc_RNA from 1 species
UGCAUCAUCAUCGACAUCACCAGCAAAGUGCUGAAAGUGAUGGCAGUAUGUAAAUACGGCAUCUGCGUACACUCGCGGAUGACUCAUGUGGCGUUUGCACAUACAAAUUUGCAGUCAUUUCGUGAUUUAUGGUGCAGAAAUACGCUUCUGAUAACCAGGUAAUGUUUAGCAUGAGUGUGAAAAUAAACAAGUAUUUGUACAAGCUGAUUUUGGAGCAUGGAGAGAGCCCCAACCAGUCACGAAAACAGGAGUACAGCGCCAUACUUUGUGGAACACCAUCCUGCAAAGCAGUACGAAUUUAGAAUUUCAGUGACAGCAACGAAAGGGGUCUGCUUUGCCUGCAAAUGCCAUUUGAUCAAAGGAAAAAUACACCAGUUACUUGAGCACUUACUAGGUACCUGCACAAAUCUCCUUGCAGUGCGUUUAACCCUUUUAGACGCUUUGUACACAAUUGUGUACAUCACUUGUUUUUGCUAGUUGUGUCAACUAGGGGCUAAAAAAGUGCAAGAUACAAUGAAGUUCAGAUGAAAUAAUCAACCUCCUCCCUAAUAAACAUGUCUUCAGUUUUCACACU